rnacentral:rRNA from 1 species
UACAGAGGUCUCAAGCGUUGUUCGGAUUCAUUGGGCGUAAAGGGUGCGUAGGUGGCGGGGUAAGUCAGGUGUGAAAUCUCGGGGCUCAACCCCGAAACUGCACUUGAUACUGCCUUGCUCGAGUACUGGAGAGGAGAUUGGAAUUUACGGUGUAGCAGUGAAAUGCGUAGAUAUCGUAAGGAAGACCAGUGGCGAAGGCGGGUCUCUGGACAGUUCCUGACACUGAGGCACGAAGGCCAGGGGAGCAAACGGG